UUGCACUACGGGCCAAAGAGAUUCAUCAGUUUAAUCAUUCAUCUUUGCACUACAGGCCAAAGAUAUUCAUCAAGUAUCACCAUUAAGGACUGAGGAUGAUGAAAAACAUUUUUAAGAACGAAUCCAGUGAUAUAGAAGGACAAAUAUUAGGGAUUCGUACAACAGUUUAUCCAAGAUCAAUAAUACUUCAUAAUAAACGAUUUUGAAGCAGAACUCAAAAAUAACGAUCAAAACAUGGAUACAAUCAAAGAUAGUAGCCAAAAUAGACAUCUUGGACAAAAAGAAAAAUUUUCAUUUUUCGGUGAAUAGUGCCGUAUUCGUGAAUAGUGCCGUAUACGUGAAUAGU
rnacentral:lncRNA from 1 species